UACGUAGGGCGCAAGCGUUGUCCGGAAUUAUUGGGCGUAAAGAGCUCGUAGGCGGUCUGUUGCGUCCGCUGUGAAAACCCGGGGCUUAACCCCUGGCUUGCAGUGGAUACGGACAGACUAGAGGUAGGUAGGGGAGAAUGGAAUUCCCGGUGUAGCGGUGAAAUGCGUAGAGAUUUGGAGGAACACCAGUGGCGAAGGCGACUAUCUGGUCUGUAACUGACACUGAGGCGCGAAAGCGUGGGGAGCAAACAGG
rnacentral:rRNA from 1 species